AAAAUGAACAGUACUAACAGAAAAACGUGUUUUGAGGUUUAUUACGAUAAAAAUGUCACUUUGAAGGAUUAAAGUGCUAGUCAAAAAAACUCUAGUGUUUAAAGCAAUAGAAACUGAAACUCUCCUUGUUUAAAACUAUCCAUUUCGGUUGAAGAAACACAUAUGGAUUGGUCUUGUUCAAAGUCAAACUCAGGAACCCUAAUCUGUCAAGCCGCUGGACUCUUCUUCUUCGUCAUACCCAAACUCCUCCAUCCACGGCGAAUUGGCUCCUUCACCUUCCUCCGCUGCUUUUCACCACCAUCACAUUUGCCGCUUCUUCUUCAUAUUCCCUUUGUUUUAUCAAUCUCAAUUGCACAGAAAUCAAAACUCUAGAGGUCAUCGACCUAUAUCCUUUGACAAGGUAUGGCUCAGCGUGAAGACGUUUAUGACCUUAAUAGCCCACUAGAUUCCAGGUUUUCUUCUACUCCAGUGCUCCAAUUUCAAUUGUGUCUAUAAAAAUCUCCCUUUUUUUGUUGUUUACAGUUUUCACGAGUUUCUUUUGUUCGAUUUAGCUGACAAAACCCCCUUGAUUUUGUUCAAUCGAUUUCGGCAUUACUGUUUAUGUUCAUUUCUAUUAAAAAUCUCUCCUUUCUGCUGUUUCCUCUUGACAAAACUCCACCUUGAUUUUGUUCACUUACUAUUGUAUUUGUUUACGGUAUGACCAGAACUGGAUUGUUUAUGUUGGUUUGUCUUUUUGGUGUGUGAUUCUGAUUGUUUCUCUUCUAUUGAUUUAUGCAACUGGGAACUGAGUUCUGAUAUGCGUUUUCUGUGAAAAGUUUUACCAUUUUAAUGAUGCCUCAAGGAGUUGUACCAGUUCAGGGAUGGACCCCUACACCGUAAGUUAUGUCAUACCGGAACUGAUCACAGCAACUACAGAAACUUGCAGCAAAACGAGUCAGGCUAAUCUGUCCUCUUGGCGGGAUCUAUGCUUUGUUCUUCCUUGAAGGUCCUCACACAAGAAGAUGAGAACGGAAACGUCAAACUUGAGUGUACCGCCAUUAGUAAACAACAGUUUGCAGCUGGGAGGUUUCACAUUGACUCGCGGAUGACAGCUACUAUAGAUGCUGAUCGCAUUGCUGGGCUUGAUGUUCUUCGUAUUAUCAAUGAGCCUACUGCUACUUCUUUGGUUUAUGCUUUUGAAAGGAGAAGCAAUUAAAUAAUUAUUGUCUUUGAUCUUGGUGGUGGUACCUUUGAUGUCUCUGGUACUUUACAUUAAACUGUUGCUAUAUAUAUAUUAGUUUGAUAAAACGGUUACAGUUUUGUAAACGAAUUUUGAUUUAUAAAAACUCAAAUGCAAUGUA